rnacentral:tRNA from 1 species
CAUUGUGAAGCUAAUUAGCAUUAACCUUUUAAGUUAAAGACUGAGAGCUCAACCCUCUCCAUAAUGA